rnacentral:rRNA from 1 species
AAAAUUUUUUUAAGAGCAAUGAACGGAUGCCUUGGGUAAAAAAGAGGAAGAAGGACGUAACAGGCUGCGAUAAGUCUCGAUGAGGUGCCAAUAACCGCUUGGAGUCGAGAAUUUCCGAAUGGGGCAACCUAUCCUGUAUAACAGGAUGCCACAGAGCCAAGACCUGGUGAAGUGAAAUAUCUCAGUAACCAGAGGAAAAUAAAUCGUAAGAGAUUCCCUUAGUAGUGACGAGCGAACGGGGAAGAGCCCAAACCGGAUCAGUGUAAGAUUCUAGUCGUUGCUGAUUGCGGGGUUGUAGGAGUAUAUGGAGCUAGCUAGAAAUAGUUCAAAAGUAUGAUCUCUAUUUAGAAGAAGCAUUUAGAAGGUGCACCACAGAGGGUUUAAGUCCCGUAUUCGAAAGGUAUGAGACGCUUUUUAUGCCACCUAAGUAGUGUCGAACACGUGAAAUUCGGCAUGAAUCUGCCCAGACCAUUGGGUAAGGCUAAAUACUUUUUUACACCGAUAGCGUAUAGUACCGUGAGGGAAAGGUGAAAAGAACCCCAGGAAGGGGAGUGAAAUAGAUUCUGAAAUUCAUUGCUUACAAUUGAGUUGGAGUCCUUCGGGAUGACAACGUACCUAUUGACGAAUGGGUCAGCGAGUUAUUGUUGCCAGCAAGGUUAAGUCAGGUAUAGACGGAGCCGUAGGGAAACCGAGUCUGAAUAGGGCGAUUUAGUUGGUAGUAAUAGACCCGAAACGUUAUGAGCUAGGCAUGGGCAGGUUGAAGGCGUGCGAAAGUGCGCUGGAGGACCGAACGGGUUAGAGCUGCAAAUCUUUCCGAUGACUUGUGUCUAGGAGUGAAAAGCUCAUCGAAUAACGUAAUAGCUGGUUCUCUCCGAAAUGCAUUAGGGUGCAGCUCCCAAUCGAGAUCUCACAGAGGUAGAGCUCUGAUAAGACUAGGGGUGUCGAGAGACAUUACCAAAUCUUGUUAAACUUCGAAUGCUGUGAGGAAUAUUGGGAAGUGAGACUGCGGGCGCAAGGUUCGUGGUCAAAAGGAUAACAGUCCAGACAUGUAAUUAAGGUCCCUAAAUUAUAGCUAAGUGGUAAAGGAGGUAUUCUUGCUUUGACAUCCAGGAGGUUUGCUUAGAAGCAGCAAUCCUUUAAAGAUAGCGUAACAGCUCACUGGACAAGCGAGGACGCGCCGAAGAUGUAACGGGGCUAAGCUAUAUACCGAAAUUCAUGGCCUACAUAGCAAUAUGUAGUGCGGUAGGAGAGUGUUCUAUCGGGAUGAAGCAUAACUGUGAGGUUAUGUGGACUAGAUAGAAGUAAAAAUGCUGACAUGAGUAACGACGCAAGGCAAAAAUCCUUGCUGCCGAAAACCUAAGAAUUCCUGCGCAACGUUCAUCGUCGCGGGGUUAGUCGAGACCUAAGGUGAUACCAGAAGUGGUACAUCGAUGGAUAACUGGUUAAUAUUCCAGUACUUGUAUAUUCAGUGAUGUGGUAACGCAUCGGGAUUUGUAAGAGCUCAUUAAGGAUUUGAGUCGAAAAAGUAAGGUUUUGAUUGUAGGAAAAUCCGCAGUCAUUAUACUGAGCUUGAUCGGAAUUGCUUCCUUCGGGUUGUGAAAUUCUUAUCGUUCUGGUGCCGAGAAAAACCUCUAAACUUAUGUAUAUGCAACUCGUAUUCAGAUCAGACACUUGUAGGUUGGUAGAGAAUACCAAGGCAAUCGAGAUAACUAGUGGAUAAGGAACUUGGCAAAAUAGCGGACGUACUUUCGAAAUAAGUCCUACCCUGCAGUAAUGUAGGGUUGCAACAAAUGACAUGGGGGGAACUGUUUAUCACAAACACAGCUCGCUGCUAACACGUAAGUGGAUAUAUAGCGAGUGAUGCCUGUCCAAUGCCAGAAUGUUAUGCUCUCUUGUGCAAGCUCGAGGGUUAAGCACUGGUGAAUGACGGCCGUAACUAUGACGGUCCUAAGGUAGCGAAAUUCCUUGUCAGGUAAGUUCUGACGCGCAUGAAUGGCAUAAUCAUCCCCAUACUGUCUUGUCCUUAGACUCGGUGAAAUUACAAUCCUGGUAAAAAUGCCAGGUAGUUGCAGUUAGACGGAAAGACCCUGUGAAGCUUCACUAUAGAUUGAUAUUGGCAUGUAGUAUGUGCUGCUCAGUAUAAGUGGGAGGCGUUGAUGUUUCGACUUCGGUUGGGGCGGAGCCAACAAUGAGAUACCACUCAAUAUAUAUAGCAUUUCUAACCCCUAGGUUGGGGAACAGUGUCAGUUUGGUAGUUUACCUGGGGCUGGUGCCUCCUAAAAAGUAACGGAGGCGUGCAAAGGUUUGCUUGUCACGGAUGGAAACCGUGGUGGACGUGCAUUCGCAUAAGCAAGCUUGACUGUGAGACUGACAGGUCGAACAGAUACGAAAGUAGGCGAAAGUGAUCCGGAUCUUCCAUAUGGAAGGGGAUCCGCUCAACGGAUAAAAGUUACUCCGGGGAUAACAGGCUAAUGGUAUCUAAGCGUUCAUAGCGACGAUACCGUUUGGCACCUCGAUGUCGACUCGUCGCAUCCUGGGGCUGUAGAAGGUCCCAAGGGUUGGGUUGUUCACCCAUUAAAGCGGGACGCGAGUUGGGUUCAGAACGUCGUGAGACAGUUCGGUCCCUAUCUACUGCAACCGUAAGAAAUUUGAGAGAUGCUGUCCCUAGUACGAGAGGACCGGGAUGGACAAGCCUCUGGUAGUACCAGUUGUUCCGCCUAGGAGCACGGCUGGAUAGCUACGCUUGGAAAAGGUAACCGCUGAAAGCAUCUAAGUGGGAAACUUGUCUCAAGAUUAGAUUUCUCUCCCCUUGUGGGAAUAAGACCUCCGCGAGACUAGCGGGUUAAUAGACGUCAUGUGUAAGCAUAGCAAUGUGUUGAGCAGAGACGCACUAAUCGGUCGAAUGAGUUUUUCUU